GGGCGUAAAGCGAGCGCAGACGGUUGAUUAAGUCUGAUGUGAAAGCCCGGAGCUCAACUCCGGGAAUGGCAUUGGAAACUGGUUAACUUGAGUGCAGUAGAGGUAAGUGGAACUCCAUGUGUAGCGGUGGAAUGCGUAGAUAUAUGGAAGAACACCAGUGGCGAAGGCGGCUUACUGGACUGUAACUGACGUUGAGGCUCGAAAGUGUGGGUAGCAAACAGGAUUAGAUACCCUGGUAGUCCACACCGUAAACGAUGAACACUAGGUGUUAGGAGGUUUCCGCCUCUUAGUGCCGAAGCUAACGCAUUAAGUGUUCCGCCUGGGGAGUACGACCGCAAGGUUGAAACUCAAAGGAAUUGACGGGGACCCGCACAAGCGGUGGAGCAUGUGGUUUAAUUCGAAGCAACGCGAAGAACCUUACCAGGUCUUGACAUCCUUUGAAGCUUUUAGAGAUAGAAGUGUUCUCUUCGGAGACAAAGUGACAGGUGGUGCAUGGUCGUCGUCAGCUCGUGUCGUGAGAUGUUGGGUUAAGUCCCGCAACGAGCGCAACCCUUAUUGUUAGUUGCCAGCAUUCAGAUGGGCACUCUAGCGAGACUGCCGGUGACAAACCGGAGGAAGGCGGGGACGACGUCAGAUCAUCAUGCCCCUUAUGACCUGGGCUACACACGUGCUACAAUGGCGUAUACAACGAGUUGCCAACCCGCGAGGGUGAGCUAAUCUCUUAAAGUACGUCUCAGUUCGGAUUGUAGUCUGCAACUCGACUACAUGAAGUCGGAAUCGCUAGUAAUCGCGGAUCAGCACGCCGCGGUGAAUACGUUCCCGGGUCUUGUACACACCGCCCGUCACACCAUGGGAGUUUGUAAUGCCCAAAGCCGGUGGCCUAACCUUUUAGGAAGGAGCCGUCUAAGGCAGGACAGAUGACUGGGGUGAAGUCGUAACAA
rnacentral:rRNA from 1 species